rnacentral:rRNA from 1 species
UCUUUAAUCUGAAGACGUGAUGUGGACUGAAAAUAAGUAGGGAAGCACGUGAGCUGACUGUCAAGAAAAGCCGCUAUUGUUUGCAGGAUACCCGUACCGUAAACCGACACAGGUGGAUGAGGAGAGAAUCCUAAGGCCGACGGGAGAAGCAUUGUUAAGGAACUCGGCAAAAUGACUCCGUAACUUCGGGAGAAGGAGUGCCAGUAAGAUGGCCGCAGAGAAUUGGCCCAAGCAACUGUUUAGCAAAAACACAGGUCUAUGCAAAACCGAAAGGUGAGGUAUAUGGACUGACGCCUGCCCGGUGCUGGAAGGUUAAGGGGAGAGGUUAGCGCAAGCGAAGCUUUGAACUUAAGCCCCAGUAAACGGCGGCCGUAACAAUAACGGUCCUAAGGUAGCGAAAUUCCUUGUCGGGUAAGUUCCGACCCGCACGAAAGGCGUAAUGAUUUGGGCACUGUCUCAACAAUGCACCCGGUGAAAUUGAAAUACCAGUGAAGAUGCUGGUUACCUGCGCCAGGACGGAAAGACCCCAUGGAACUUUACUCCAGCUUGAUACUGGGAUUCGGUAUUGCAUGUACAGGAUAGGUGGGAGGCUAGGAAAUGGUAACGCCAGUUGCCAUGGAGCCAAUGUUGGGAUACCACCCUUGCAGUACUGGGUUUCUAACCAGCAGCCGUGAUCCGGCUGGGGGACAAUGUCAGGUGGGGAGUUUGACUGGGGCGGUCGCCUCCGAAAGGGUAUCGGAGGCGCUCAAAGGUUCCCUCAGAAUGGUUGGAAACCAUUCGAAGAGUGCAAAGGCUGAAGGGAGCUUGACUGCGACACCGACGGGUGGAGCAGGUACGAAAGUAGGACUUAGUGAUCCGGUGGUAUAAAGUGGGAUUGCCAUCGCUCAACGGAUAAAAGCUACCCUGGGAUAACAGCUUAUCACUCCCAAGAGUUCACAUCGACGGAGUGGUUUGGCACCUCGAUGUCGGCUCAUCGCAUCCUGGGGCUGAAGUAGGUCCCAAGGGUUGGGCUGUUCGCCCAUUAAAGCGGUACGCGAGCUGGGUUCAGAACGUCGUGAGACAGUUCGGUCCCUAUCCGGCGUGGGCGUAAGAUAUUUGAGAGGAGCUGUCCUUAGUACGAGAGGACCGGGAUGGACUGGCCGCUGGUGUAUCUGUUGUCUUACCAAAGGCAUAGCAGAGUAGCCAAGCCGGGAAGGGAUAAACGCUGAAGGCAUCUAAGCGUGAAGCCCCCCUCAAGAUGAGAUAUCUCAUAACGUCAAGUUAGUAAGACCCCUUGAAGACGACGAGGUAGAUAGGGCAGAGGUGGAAGUGUGGUAACACAUGGAGCUGACUGUUACUAAUAGGUCGAGGGCAUAACCUA